rnacentral:snRNA from 1 species
AGAUGUGUGGGCGAUCUGGCUGCAACAUCUGUCACCCCAUUGAUCGCCAGGGUUGAUUCGACUGAUCUGGCUGGCUAGGCAGGUGUCCCCUUCCUCCCUCACUGCUCCAUGUGCGUCCCUCCUGAAGCUGCAUGCUUGGUCGAAGAGGACGGCCUUCCCUGAAUAGAGACCCACCGGUCUUUGGCCAAGGGUAUAUGAGUAGCUGCGCUCCCCUGCUAGAACCUCCAAACAAGCUCUCAAGAAUGCAUUCACUUAAAAUGUUUCAUUCUUUUCUCAAGGAUUAAGUGCAGGGACCUUCAUGGCAUCUAAAUAUAGUUGCAAGGAAUAAUUUAGUGUUUUUU